AGUGAACGCUGGCGGUAGGCCUAACACAUGCAAGUCGAACGGCAGCACAGUAAGAGCUUGCUCUUACGGGUGGCGAGUGGCGGACGGGUGAGGAAUACAUCGGAAUCUACUUUUUCGUGGGGGAUAACGUAGGGAAACCUACGCUAAUACCGCAUACGACCUACGGGUGAAAGCAGGGGAUCUUCGGACCUUGCGCGAUUGAAUGAGCCGAUGUCGGAUUAGCUAGUUGGCGGGGUAAAGGCCCACCAAGGCGACGAUCCGUAGCUGGUCUGAGAGGAUGAUCAGCCACACUGGAACUGAGACACGGUCCAGACUCCUACGGGAGGCAGCGGUGGGGAAUAUUGGACAAUGGGCGCAAGCCUGAUCCAGCCAUACCGCGUGGGUGAAGAAGGCCUUCGGGUUGUAAAGCCCUUUUGUUGGGAAAGAAAAGCAGCAGGUUAAUACCCCGCUGUUCUGACGGUACCCAAAGAAUAAGCACCGGCUAACUUCGUG
rnacentral:rRNA from 1 species